UUCUUGUUCUCUUGAAAGUAGUUUUUUUGGUUCUAUCUUAUGUUUCCUUUUUUUAUUCUCUCAAUUGAAUCUUAAAAAAUACACUGGUGCAUCACUGAUUUAUCCAAAUAAUGUGGUGGAUUUUAAAAUGAAUUUGAAAUAAGAUUCAUAGAUAUUCGCAGAAUUCGGUGUGUUUCUGGGGUUUGUGUGGGAAGUCAAUGAAAUGGUGAACUUAGUAACACUUGCUUGAUCAAUGGUCACCUAGGCCUAAGGGGGGUGAUGCGGAAGAGUUGAGCUCAACUGUUGAAGUUCCUUGUAAUAGUCUCUCUGUUGGAGAUCAAAUUGUUAUAUUACUUGGAAUUGAUUUAGCAAUAUUUGGUGGUGAACUAUUGUGCCAGGUUGUUGAAGAUGGAUUAUGACCUUGCUUGAGUGCUAAUUGGAAAUGAGAAGAGGUUUGUUCACAUGCAUUUGCAUAUUGUCAUUGGUGAUGCUAUAGUUGUAUUAAACACAUCGUUCCAAUUGGAAUUGACUUGAUUUUAUUUAUUUUUAACUUGGUUUAACUUUAGGUAUUGUUGUACAUAAACUUAAAGUUUGGAUUGUAAGAACAGGACAAAUAGAAUUUAUAUAUAUAUAUUUGGAUGUCAAUGUAUUAAA